UGGGGAAUUUUGGACAAUGGGGGCAACCCUGAUCCAGCCAUCCCGCGUGUGCGAUGAAGGCCUUCGGGUUGUAAAGCACUUUUGGCAGGGAAGAAACAGCCUGGGAUAAUACCCCGGGCGACUGACGGUACCUGCAGAAUAAGCACCGGCUAACUACGUGCCAGCAGCCGCGGUAAUACGUAGGGUGCAAGCGUUAAUCGGAAUUACUGGGCGUAAAGCGUGCGCAGGCGGUUCGGAAAGAAAGGUGUGAAAUCCCAGGGCUUAACCUUGGAACCGCACUUUUAACUACCGAGCUAGAGUACGUCAGAGGGGGGCCAGAAUUCCACGUGUAGCAGUGAAAUGCGUAGAGAUGUGGAGGAAUACCGAUGGCGAAGGCAGCCCCCUGGGAUGAUACUGACGCUCAUGCACGAAAGCGUGGGGAGCAAACAGGAUUAGAUACCCUGGUAGUCCACGCCCUAAACGAUGUCAACUAGCUGUUGGGGUUUAUUAACCUUAGUAGCGCAGCUAACGCGUGAAGUUGACCGCCUGGGGAGUACGGUCGCAAGAUUAAAACUCAAAUGAAUUGACGGGGUCAUAGCUGUUUCCUG
rnacentral:rRNA from 1 species